UGUAACUGAACUGGAUACAGGAGAUACCUGUAAAGCACAGAGCAGGGGAGAGAGUGUAAGGCAUUAACCUGCCUCCAUGACAGCAUGGCUAAAUCCAGAAUGGCCACCUAAUCAGUCAGAUCACUGGACAAAGCAAACACGGCAGGGAAUUUCAAUAACCAGAUAACAGGCACUGCAAUCCUAUGACAACUGAGAGAAGAACCCCGAGGGGACCCUGCAGGAGAACAUGUGAGAAAAGCCUUAACUUUCUGCUCAAGAGAAUAAAAACGCAUUGUAUGAUUUCCAUGGAACUCUGAAGCACUUGUGAGCCAGCAGUCAAUGUGCUCUAGAGGAUAUAUUUAUGUCUUCUUAGAAAAAUUAAGAAAAAAACAUGAACAAACUUUUUAAUGUUUGAAUUUUCAGUGGAGUUACAUUUUUAAUAUCUUAUAAGCCAUAACUUUUCAUUUAAAUCACUAAUGGGCUCACUAUGGAGUAAUCAGAAGCGCUCUGCUAUGGCCUGGGAUAGCAGCAGAAGAUGGCCCAACUGCACCAGCGUGGGAGACCCAGAAGAAGCUCCUGGCUCCUGGCUUCGGAUUGGUGCAGUUCUGCCUGUUGUGACCAAUUGGGAAGUGAACCAUCAGAUGGAAGACCCUACCCCCCAUCCCGUCUUUGUCUCUCAAUCUCUCCUCUCUCUGUGUACCUCUGACUCUCAAGUAAAAUAAAUAAAUCUUUAAAAAAUAAAAAUAAAUAAAAUAAAAUGUAAGUAGAAAUCAACAACAUGUCAUUGUUCUUACGGAACAAUAUACCAACCAGAUUUUCAUAGAAGUGGUGGAGUCAGAAAAAUCAGAAUAUGGAAGCAAACUCUGAAACUGGAUCACAAAGAGUUUUAAAAGAGAAAUCACUUUUUUUUUUUUAACGCAAGAAAAAAGAGAGGGAAAAGCUGCAAGCUCUUUUAUUAUAAUCUAAUUUGUUAAAGUGACUUAAACAUACUCUUGCCAAGUACUUCAAUGACCAUGAAUUAUGCUUUUGGAAAAAUUGUGCAUUAACAUGUCAGUCGGAGUGCUGUUUUAAAAAUCCAGAUUCCAAGACCACAAUCCUUGGCUUGGACCACAGCAGAUCUUGGGGGUAGAUUUUUAAUUUGGCCUCAUCUAUGAACCUGAUUGGGAUAAGUUUAGACACCACAGCAAAGAGACGAAUUCCUGAAGCCUUGCUCCUGAGGAAAUGGUUGUCCCACUGUGUGUACGUUUUAUCUGUUUUCUUUCUUUUACUCCUGUAUAAUUACAUUUUAAGCUAAUUUAGAAAUGAGGCAUAUGGAUCCUUGAAGCUUCUUUCAUUUAGCCCAUUUUAAGUUUUUGUUUUUCCAUAGGUGAAGUUGGGUAUGGUUCAUUAAUUUUGACAAAUAUAUUAUACUAACAUAAGAAAUUAAAAUAGAGAACAUUGGUUAUAGGGUAUAUAGGAAUUCUUUGUACUACUUCACAAUUUUUUGUUUUGUAGAAUUAAAACUAUUCUGAAAUAAGAAUUUUUAAAAAAUCUAUUUAUUUGAAAGUGAGUGCUAUUUGAAAGGGAAAGAGGGAGAGAAAGAGAAGGAGGGAGAGAGACCUUACCUCUGAUGGUGCACUCCCCAGAUGGCUACAACAGGCAGGGUUGGGUCAGAUGGAAGCCAGGAGCCAGGAGAUUCAGCCCAGUCUCCAACGUGGGUAGCAGUGGCCCAGUACUUGGGCCUUUUGUUGCUUUUCCAAGACUGUUAGAAGGGAACUGGAUCAGAAGUGGAGUAGCUAGGUCAUGAACCAGUACCCAAGUGGGAUGUCAGUAUUGCAAGAGGCAGACUAACUCGCUAUACCAAAAUUCCAAUUCCGUGAAAUAAGAAUUUAAAAAAAAAUACAAAUAGUGGUAUCAAAUAUACUUCUUCAAGUUAUUUUUGUUAACAGCACAUUUAUCUUUUUUUAAAGAUUUAUUUAUUUAUUUGAAAGUCAAAGUUACACAGAGAGGGGAGAGGCAGAGAGAGAGAGAGAGAGAGAGAGGUCUUCCAUCCGCUGAUUCACUCCCCAAUUUGCUGCAACGGCCGGAGCUGUGCUGAUCUGAAGCCAGGAGCCAGGAGCUUCUUCUGUGUCUCCCACAUAGAGACCUACACGGGUGUAGGGGCCCAAGGACUUGGACUAUUUUCUAUGCUUUCCCAGGCCACAGCAGAGAGCUGGAUUGGAAGUGGAGCAGCCAGUCUCCAACUGGCUCCCACGUGGGAUGCUGGUGCUUCAGGCCAGGGCGUUAACCCGCUGUGCCACAGCGCCGGGCAAGCACACUUAUCUUUUAUAUGGAUGUAUUAUAAUUUAUCUAAUCUCCUGUUUUGGAAAGCCAAUUUUUCCAAUAAAUAACUAUAUAAAUGGGCAUUAUAAUUGUAACAUUUUUUGAAUAUUUCUUACUUUUCAUUAGGAAAUUACAUAAAAAAAAAGAGUUGUCCAAAGGUAUAUAGAGAUUUUUGAUUAGAAGUGUAUCAGCUGGGGCCAGCACUGUGGCCUAAAGUGUAAAGCCACCACCUGCGGUGCCAGAAUACUAUAUGGGUCCUGUCCAGGUCCCAGCUGCUCCAUCUCUGAUCCAGCUCUCGGCUAUGGCUUGGGAAAGCAGAAUAUGGUCCAAGUCCUUGGGCCCCUGCACUGGUGUGAAAGACCUGGAGGAAGCUCCUGGCUCCUGGCUUCAGAUAAGAGCAGCUCCGGCCAUGGUGGCCAUUUGAGGAAUGAACCAGCAGAUGGAAGUCCUCUCUCUCUAUCUUCCUCUGUCUCUCUGUAACUCUGUCUUUCAAAUAAAUUAAUCUUUAAAUAAAAAAUGUAUCCCCAACUAUCUGUACAACAUAUUAGCAAUUUACAUUCUCACCAACAAUCUAGGAAAAUAAGAGCAUCCUUUCCUCUCAAAAUAGAGUAUUAUCUUGUAUUUUUUUCAUUUUUUCCCACUUCAUUUAAAAUUAUGACUAUACUUGUGUUUAAUUCAUUUGCUUAUCAUUGUGAUGAACCAUUGUGUUAAUUUUCUAAAAUAUAAAUUGUUUUAUGAUGUAAUUUCAAGUUUAUAUUAACCUUCAAGUUAAUGGCAAGAACAAAAACUCUUACCUUGAUUUAUGACAUGUUAAUAUUUGGACCCUGUUUUUCUUUAUCAUCUUUAUACACACACAUACAUACACACUCAUAUACACACAAUUAUUGCUAUUUUUCACAAGAGAUUGGUUUGGUUUCAGGACCCUUAAGAAUACCAAAACCUGCAGAUAUUAUAAAAAUCUCUUAAAUAAAUAAGUGGACAUAUGAACAUUCUCCCUCAUACUUUAGGCCAUGUUUAGAUUACUUAUAAUACAUAAUGUAAUGUGAAUGUUACGUAGAUAGCCUUCAUACUGCAUUGUAUUAUGCCGACAGGGAAAAAUGUCUGUACCCAUGCAGUACAGAUGCAGUUAUUUUAUUUUUUGAACUGUGGUUGGUCAAAUCAGCAGAUGCAGAACCUGCAGAUAUGGAGGGAUAACUAUUUUUAUAUAUCUAGAUCUAUAUUUAUAUUUAUCUCCAUACAUAUGUAUCUUCAUGUGGAAUUGUUGUAUAUCUUUAUAUGCACUUGGAAAUUAUUUGUCUGAAUAUUUCAGUGUUAUUUGUACUAUCAUGUUCUAUCCCUAAACCCUCCAUUAAUAUCUGUGGAAAUCUACCUGCUAUCCACUUGUAAAUACAGUGAAUCAAUUUAACCAGUAGUAUGGUAAUCAUAUAAAAUUAAACAGCUCUGUUACUGAAGGAAAUAUUUAACAUCAAGAUGACAACACAUAAAUGUAAAGGAACAUGAUGCAGGAAACAAAUAUUUUGCAGACUUUGAUGAAAUAUUGAUUCAAGCAAGAAUUGACAAUCAAUAUUAAAGGUAUUAGAUGUGGUGUGUGCUUGAUAUGGACCUGGAUAUUUAAGGUUGCUGCUAAACCAUGCAGUUUACAUUCAAAUUUUCAAAACUCAAACCAAGAGUCAAUUAUGGUGUUGUGAGCAUUCCUUUUUUCCCUGUAUUUUUAUGUAUUUGUUUUUAUUUAUUUGAAAGACAGACAUCAUGAGAGUCAGGGACAGGCAAUUAGAUGUAGAUCCUCCACCCACUGGUUUACUCCCUGCUGCCUGCAAAAUCCAUAGCUGGGCCAGACUGAAAUCAGGAGCUCAGAACUCAGUCACGACAUCCCAUGAAGGGGCAGGGACUUCAGUACUUAAGCCAUCACCUGCUACCUCUCAAGGUGCACAUUUGCAAGAAGCCAGAAUUGGAAGUGGAAAUGGUACUCAAAUCACGACCCCAAAACCAAGGUCCUGUGAUAUGCAAUACGGACAUCUCAAAUGCAUCAUAAUCACUACAUUACAUGCCUGUCCUGAGGUGAAAAUUCUAGAGUAAAAGUAGCAAGUUGCAGAAUGUUAGGAUAAAUAUGAUCUCCUUGUGGUACAUACAUACACCCACACCCCCCCACACAUACACAAUUGGAAGCCUAUGCAUUAAGUGAGCAUAUCAAAUGUCUUCAAAAUAUUUGUUUUCAAAUUUUUGUAAUGCAAAUGCACUGUUCCUGAAAUUAUUAUGCAUAUGAAUAGAAAGUUGCAUUUCAAUGAAGGAUAGUAAAACAUUUCAUUCAGCAAUUCAUGCUCAAAAUGACCUCACAAGUGUGAGUGUUUUGGGUAGCCUGCCACAGGCUCUCAACUCUAGUUUCCUUGUGGGGAGCAGCUCGGACUAGACUAAGUUACUGGAAUUAAGACUUAUUCUAUGCAUCUGCUCUCCUCUGUGGGGAGCAGCUCGGACUAGACUGUUACUGGAAUUAAGACUUAUUCUAUGCAUCUGCUCUCCUACAAUAUGGCGCUGGGAGAGGAGAAAACAGCUUCUACCCAGCUGCCUCCAGUUCAACCAAUAAACUGUAGGACUUGCUCCUGAUUGGAGAGCAGCGUACUCGGCGUGUGGGCAGCCGAGUUAGGAUUGGCGGAGGAGGACUAUAAAGGAGGAGAGAGACGGCAUGCACCAGGAACAUCUAAGGGGAACAUCUGAAGGAACACCUGUGCAGCCCCCCAGAGAGCCGGCCGGCGGUGUGCCGCUCCCCUGCGGAAGUGGGGAAUGUGGCCAGGGGGAACUGCCCUUCCACGGAGGUGGAAGGGAUAGUAGCCAACCCGGGAAGAACCAGCAGCAAACCCGGGGAAGGCCGAGCAGACGAAAGAACAGCGCAGGGUCCUGUGUCGUUCCUCCACGAAGAGGGGGAGCGACAUAAUGGUGCCGUGACUCGGAUAUGAAGCCUAGGCAGGGUUUAGUGUCGUUCCUCCAUGAAGAGGGGGAGCGACAUUCCUACCAAUUCAGAUCUUCGAAGCAGAAGGAAUGGCUCAAUUAAUUGAGUUUCUGACAUUCACAUGGCAGACCCCAUGUGAAUGCUUUAGCCCAUCCCAACUCCUUUGAAUCAGUGGAUGGGAGCUUAUAGUCUCUCUCUCUCUCUCUUUCUCCCCUUCCUUCUUCUCUCCCUAUUAAAUAAAUAAAAAUAUCUAGCAGGAGAUUUUUUACCCAAAAUUGUGAGGCAGCUUUUUCUUUAAUGAUUUAAAGAAUCAGGAAGAGACAAAUUUGCUCAACGCACAUUACACAUUACAGAGAUGAUAUAACCUUCACAGGAAAAAUAACUUGAGGACAAUGAAAAGAAGGAAGAAUCUGGAGCUCAAACAUUCUAAGAUGCGGCAAGGCAAAAAAGUGAAAAUCAAAUACAAAUUAAAGAAAAGACAGUGCUUUUAGGAUACACCAUACAGACCACGAGUGCUGAAGAGACAGACCCAAAAUAAAGACUUCUAGAAAGAUAUUUGUGGUGAGGUGUAACGCUCUCCUGAGAAUCCUUAAAUCUGUUAGUAGAUGCAAACGUUUUUCAAUGAUUCUGGAGUAGUCAUGUGUUUCUGUUUGUUUUUUUUUUUUUCCUCUCCCUUCUAUGUGUGUGUGUGUGUGUGUGUGCAAGUGUGUGAGUGCAUGUGUGUGUGAGGGGCAUGUUUUGGAGAGACACAGGCUGCACAAAUAUGCAGAGCAGGGCUUAAGGAAGGGGGAACAGGUCAGUUUUAUUUAUAUUGAAUAAAGCGGUUGUGCUGUUAGUGAGGUAGGACAUUGGGGCCCUUGGCAUUCUUUCUCCAUCACUAUAAUUUGAAAAAUUUCCUUAUUUACACAAAAAAUGUGUAAGUAAAAAUAAGUUUCUCCUAAAAUAAGCUUGAUCAUCAUAAGAGCACCAUUUGGAGUUACGCAAUGGCUUCCAAACUACGAGUAAAGAAUACUUUGCAUGGUAGGUUCUCACCUUGAAGAUCUCUACAAUCUGCCUCUUUCUUCAGAGACUUUUGGCCUCUAACCAAUAUUUACCUUCUAUAUCUUGUUUCUUUAUCUGCUUUGCAAUAAUUUCAAAUAUUUGUCUAUCUGCUGUGCCUAAGAACUGUUAUUUUAUCCACUUCAGAAUGAUUUUUCAAAUGCCAAAAUUUCAAUCUAUGUUGUGGGGGGAGUAGAGACAUAGAGUCAAGAUCCACAGUGCAAAAAUCGUGAACUGUUGAAAUUCACCUCUGUUUUGGAGCUCGAUUAGCAAAGCACUGCCAAAUAGCCUGACAUUUAGCUAAGCAUUGGAUUGCUGGUGUGUUACAGCAGUUACUAAAUAUAAUCAGUCCAAUAAUAAUUAAUCUUUCUGUCUUAGUACAAUCUGUAUCUUAACAAUGUUUUUCAGUCUGUUCAUAUUUGGUGAUUAUAAUCACAGCAUGAUUUGAUCAUGCAAGGGAGGUUUUUUUCGGAAGGUAUUCUUAAAUACAAAGACCUUAACUUUGCCAGCCAUGAGAAAACAUCAUGAUAUCAGCCUGACUCCAAGCAAUGAUUUCACAUCUGAUAUCCUCCUUCAGCCCAUCAUAGGAUACUUUAUAACUUUGUCUCCAUCAUCACUCUCCUGAGUAAAGCUAUACUUUUGGCUCUGUUUAAUUAUCAACAUGAUGCAAAACAUACCAUUCACUAUUACAAACUCCAAGAAACAGUUCUUGAAAAGGCAACCUUUCCAUAGGCCAUACAAAAUAUUCUUCUACAAAUAGAUGUACAUAACUAAUUUUUUAUAGAAAUUAUCAGAACCGGAGUAGUAUGAGCAUUGUAAAUCUACAUUAGUGGACACAGAAAACAUUCUAAGAGAUCUGUAAUAUGGUGGUUAAUUUUAUUUGUGAAUUUGACUGAUUUAAGUGAUGUGCCAACAGCUGGAAAAGCAUUGUUUCUGGGUGAGUCUGUGAAGAUAUUUCCAGAAGAGACCAGUGCUUGAAUUAGACUAAUUAAAGAAGGCCUGACCCAACCAGCAUAGGGAGGCAGCAUCUCAUUCCUCCAGAAACUCCACCCCACUCUGCAUAGAGAGGAAGAGGGCAGAGGAAGAGCACAUUUGUCUCUUCUUGAGCAGGGACAUUCAUCUUCUGCCUUUGGAGACUGAAGAUCCUGAUUUUCGAUUCUGGGAUUGCAUCAUUCUCUGCCCAGUUCUCAAACCUUUGACCUUAGACUGAGAAUUACAGUGCCAAUGAGAUCCUCCAUCACAGGCCUUCACUCAUUGAAUUAUACAACAGGUUUCCCUGGUUCCUCAGACAGCAGUUGGUAUAUUACAGGACUUCUUAGCCUCCAUAACUCUGUAAACCAAUACCUACAAUAAAUUUCCUCUUAUUUAUUAUAUGCUAUUAGCUCUGUUUUUCUGGCAAAUGCUGAGUAAUACAGGCAUCUAAGAGAAUAUAUAAAAUUCAGACUUGCCCAUUUCAUCACGUUUUGGGAAAAAAUCAUAUGAAGUAAUGAUGGAAAUGCUCAUUGGAAAUUAUAAUUUUGUCAUAUUUUACAGUGCUUUAGUUGCAUACAAAGGAUCUUCAAAAAGUUUGUGAAAAUCCAUACAAGAAUUCAAAAAAUUAUUUCACCACAAUUAUCUUAUUUUUUAAUUUAAUCUUUCAGUGAGAUUUUGUUUUCUUUACUCAAUAUCAUUUUGGUCAUUUGAGAUCUUCCAUGGUUUCACACAAAUUAUAGUAGUGAUUCAUUUAGUCAUAUAAAAAUGUUAUUGGUAUUUUAAUAUGGGUUGUUGGAUUGAAUCAAUAAAUCAUUUUGGUUUGCACACACAUUUGAACAAAAUUGAUUCUUCCAAACCAUCAGCAUGUUUAUCUUGGCAUUUCUUUAUGUCCUCUUCCAUUGCAUUUAUCAUUGACUUUUGUUUAUCAUUUUAGACAAGUUUCACCUCUUUGGUUAAAUUUAUUAUCAGGGUAUUUUCUUCUAGUUCUUGUUGUGUUUUGUUUUUUUAUUUGUUUUUGGUAGGUAUUGGAACUUUUUUUUUAAGAUUUUCUUUACUUAUUUGAGAGAUAAGAGUUACAGACAAUGAGAGGGAGACAGAGAGAAAGGUCUUCCAUCUGCUAGUUCACUCUCCAAAUGGCUGCAACCCCCAUAGCAGCAGUUCUGAAGUCAGGAGCUAAUUCCAGGUCUUCCAGAUGCGGGGGCCCAUGCAUCUGGGCCAUCUUUCACUGUUUCCCAGGCCAUAGCAGACAGCUGGAUUGGAAGAUGCAGCCAGGACUAGAACCAGCACCCAUGGAGGGGUGUGGGGAGGUGAUGCCAGCCCAGCAGGAUUAACCUGCUGAGCCACAGUGACAGCCAGGUAGCUAUUAGAAAUUGUGUUGCUUUCUUGAUUUCUUUCUUUCUUUUUUUUUUCUUUUUUUUUUUCUUUUUUUUUUUUUUGACAGGCAGAGUUAGAUAGUGAGAGAGAGAGACAGAGACAGAGAGAAAGGUCUUCCUUUUCCAUUGGUUCACCCACCCCAACAUGGCCGCUACGGCCCAUGUGCUGUGGCCAGCGCACUGCUCUGAUCUGAAGCCAGGAGCCAAGUUUUUACUCCUGGUCUCCCAUGAGGGUGCAGGGCCCAAGCACUUGGGCCAUCCUCCACUGCCUUCCAGAGCCACAGCAGAGAGCUGGACUGGAAGAGGAGACUAGAACCUGGGGUGCCGGUGCUACAGGCGGAGGAUUGGCCUAAUGAGCCGAGGCCGGCCUCUUGAUUUAUUUUUUCAGUUUAUUCAUGAGUGGUCUCUAACAACACUGCUGAUUUUUAUACAUUGACUUUAAAUCCUACAACUUGCUGAAUUUGCUUAUUAGCUCUAGAAUCCUUUUGUGAUGUCUUUGGAGUUUUCUACAUAUAAGAUUCCUGUCAGGUACAAACAGUGAUAAUAUGACUACUUCCUUUUUAGUUUGUACGCCCUUUAUUUCUUUAUAUUUUCUUAGUGCCUUUUAUUUAAGUUUGAAGAACUCCUUUAGCAUUCCUUUUAACACAGGUCUGGUGAUGAUAGAAUCUUUCAUCUUUUGUUUGGGAAUGUUUUAUCGCUCUAUGAUAUCUGCAGAAUAGCCUUUGCAGAUGCAGUAUUCUUGACUGGUAAUUUAUUUUUUCUUUAGUACUGUGAAAGUCUCAUCCCACUACCUCCUGGCCUGUAAGGAUUCUGCUGAGUAUUUGUGCAGUUAGGCAAAUUGAGAUACCAUUAUGUGUUAUUUGAUUCUUUUCUUGUGUAGUUUUGAGAAUUCUCUUUAUCUUUAACCUUAGAGAAUUCAACUAUAAUAUACCUGGGGGUAACCUUGGUUGAGUUGAAGCUGACUGCAAACUUUGGCCAUUCCUAUGCCUGGACUGUUUUAUCUUUCUGUAGAAUUUGAAAGGUUUCUGUCAUUAUUUCUGAAUAUGCUUUCUACCCCUUUGAAAUUCUCAGGUCUAUCUUGAAUCCUAGAAAUUAAAAUAUGUGCUCUUUUGGGCUGUCUCAUUUUUCCUAUAAGCUUUCUUCAUUCCU